GAGUGUAGCCUUAAGGUAAUUAAAUGUAAAUUUGUUGUGUGAAGUUAUUACAGAUAACAUAGCUAACCUACAAUUUAUACUUGCAAUUCCAUCUGAUCAUGUGGCAUGAAAUUGAUGUACAUUUUCCCAAAAUGUCGUCGCUUGCUGCAUGUACCAAUUGUACCAUCUCUGGCAUGUACCGACUGUACGUUUCGUCACAUGCAGAAACACUUCAGAACAGUAAAAGUGAUUAUGUUGGUCGACUUCUUAACCCUAAGUUUACUCAUUUAGUUGCUUGAUGACUUUGUUUCUGAUAGUAAAUGAGUUUUUACUUUUCUAUUAACGGUCUGGUGAAGUCUGAGCUUCUUCAUUGCAGUACAACAUGCACAUGGAAUAGUUGCAGCCAGCUGGUGAAAGGUGUUCCUCUUGCAGGAUUAACAGUAAACAGUCUCUUAAGGUCUGAGCCUCUUUGUUAUAGUCCAAUGUGUACAUGAAUUUUGUGCAGUCAGCUAGUGAAUGGUGUGGUGAGCUGUUGCAUGCAGACUGUGGUGCUGGUGUCGUUCGUUCAUUUAACUAUGGACCGAUCAGUCGUUCGCUUAUCGUAAGAAAUCUGUCACUUGUCGUAGGUGUGUAAAAUUGUGUCGACUAGGUGGCAAAGUAGGUUAGCAUUUAGUUCAUGAUGUCGAAGACAAGUGACAUCUUAUUUUGUGUUUCUAAAUAAUAAGUGCUUUUGUGGAAAGUACUUGUAAAGAGUUUUAAACUUUUGUUGAUGAAACAUAACAGAAAUUCCCUUGCUUUUU